CCCCAGUCGUCUGUUCUGUUUAUGCUGGAUAUUAUGUUCUGUGCCUUCCAGACAGGCUCUGAAGAGCAGAGUUUUGUUUCGGUUUUGUUAUCAUCCUGCUCCCCCACGGCUGGCGGGACACAGAGAUGAGGCAGUACAUAGCGUGGCUUUUGCUUUUUGCUUUGCUCUUGUUCUUGGUUCUGCUUUGCUCCUGCUUUGCUCAUGCUUUUGCGCUUCUCGUUAGUUAGUUUAGCUAAGCAGUCCGAAUUUUCCCUGGACUGUUUUUCUUUCCCUUUCUUGGAACCACUCGAGCCUGCUCCGGACUGUGACCUGGGAAACAACAAGAGUUUGCAUCUUGUGGCUGCAGCAGCCAUCCCCAGCGCUGGAGGGAGCAACAACAGAGCGACCACUCCCAGGAGAGACUUUCUGAAUUUGUCAUCCUUUUCAGAUAGGUGAAGUCUUCCGUAAAGAAACAUCAUUCUGAUUGAAGUGCAAAGGGCAAAAUUGUAAGAGACCAAAUACUUCACUGCUGCAGAACCAUCUUUCCCAGAUGUGUUUGGAACACAGAGAGAGACAAGGGUGGAGAAAGGGACUUUGCAUCACAAGAGUGAAUUUCUGGCAUCCAGAGAGGUGUAUCAACUUUAUACUUGUAGAGAUUCCUACAGCUAGCUGGACUCCUUGUAUGGGCAUCAAAACCCACAAAGUUUCAAAAGGUUUUAUGAAAAUUCUUGGCCAAAUAGAGAAGUAAAAGUUUAAUAGAAUUCUAACAGAUUAUGAUUUUAAAAACAUUAUUUUCCAGAUACCAGUUUAUUUUCAUUAGUUUGUAAAUAUUUGUCUUUCGACCAAUUCUUCCUUUCUGUUCUCAAACAACAUCCAACUCUUCUCAGAAAAUGGAAGCCAAUGGGUGACAUGUUCCUGCUACAGAUAGCUGUACACAGUUUAGAUUUAACUAUUUGUGUGUUAUCAGAACAAUACAAUUUUCAUCAAAGUUUUUACAGCCUGUCUUACCUCUCAAGAGUGCUGAAGUCUAAACCCAGCAGUAGUAGUAGGGAUCUCAACUGAUAUAGAGUCAGGCCUGAUUUACGGGCUAUCUACCCGAGGGGCUCCUUUGCUGGCUGUUGAUCUGCUCCAUACAUAAACACCUAAGGGAGAGUUCACCUUUCCUGCAUCCCCAGAGGACAGGAGACCCUUCAUGAGGCCAUGAGGAGCACGGAUGUAGGAGUGGGGCAGACACUGUGUUUUAGAGGGAGAAACCACAAGGACACCUGCAGAGUGUGACUGUGCCUUAAGUCAUUCCUAAAUUCUGCACUUAAACACACAAGAAGUGAAAUAGUACCCUGUUCUUGGUAAUAAAUUAUGUUUUUCUUUCUUUCCUUUUUGCUAAGCUACUGUACAAUUUAAAUAAUGAGUCUAGUUCAAGAAGGGCUUUCAAUACUUUCAAUGCUUUAUGAGGAGAUGUAUUUCCCUAAUUGCUGAAACAGACACUUGAGAAAAAAAAAGAGUAGGUGACCAUUUCUAGAUGUUCUGUCCAUGCUUUUCAGAAACACACAGUAUUGUACAGAUUAGUGGUUGCAUUUCAUAUGCUGAGACGUGUAAUUGACAAAUGAGCCUUAAUCUGUCAUCCAUGCAAAGGAACGGAAUGAUGCCUCUUGUUUAUCUACAGAGAAAAGGAUACAGCAAAACCGGGGAAAUACUACUCAAGAAGAGAAGUAUUCUGAUAAAUUAUGGUGGUUAUCAGAGGAAAUAACGCUUCCAUUACUGUAAAGUGUGUCUGCAAUCUGGCAACAAAAGAUACAGAAUCAAACCAUGUCAAAAUGCUUUGUGUGCUACUGAUUGUGGAUCUUUAAAUGGCCUUGGUAGAAUAUUCCAUGAAACAAGUUGUAACUCAAUGGAAUAUACUAAAAAAAAUCAUGAAAAGGGAAGAGAGGGUGCCAGGGAGGCUUUCAGGAUUAACAUGCAGUGCUGAAUAUUUAAUUAGCCAAAGAUAACAACAG